rnacentral:rRNA from 1 species
GUUUGAUCCUGGCUCAGGAUGAACGCUGGCGGCGUGCUUAACACAUGCAAGUCGAACGAUCCUUCGGGAUAGUGGGGGACGGGUGAGUAACGCGUGGGAAUCUGCCCUCAGGAGGGGGAUAACGGCUGGAAACGGCCGCUAAUACCCCAUAUGCCGAGAGGUGAAAUGAAUUUCGCCUGAGGAUGAGCCCGCGUCUGAUUAGCUAGUUGGUGGGGUAAAGGCCUACCAAGGCAACGAUCAGUAGCUGGUCUGAGAGGAUGAUCAGCCACACUGGGACUGAGACACGGCCCAGACUCCUACGGGAGGCAGCAGUGGGGAAUUUUCCGCAAUGGGCGAAAGCCUGACGGAGCAACGCCGCGUGAGGGAUGAAGGCCUCUGGGCUGUAAACCUCUUUUCUCAAGGAAGAAGACCUGACGGUACUUGAGGAAUAAGCCACGGCUAAUUCCGUGCCAGCAGCCGCGGUAAUACGGGAGUGGCAAGCGUUCUCCGGAAUUAUUGGGCGUAAAGCGUCCGCAGGCGGCCUUGUAAGUCUGUUGUUAAAGCGUGGAGCUCAACUCCAUUUAAGCAAUGGAAACUACAAGGCUGGAGUGUGGUAGGGGCAGAGGGAAUUCCCGGUGUAGCGGUGAAAUGCGUAGAUAUCGGGAAGAACACCAGUGGCGAAGGCGCUCAGCUGGGCCAUAACUGACGCUCAUGGACGAAAGCCAGGGGAGCGAAAGGGAUUAGAUACCCCUGUAGUCCUGGCCGUAAACGAUGAACACUAGGUGUCGGGGGAAUCGACCCCCUCGGUGUCGUAGCCAACGCGUUAAGUGUUCCGCCUGGGGAGUACGCACGCAAGUGUGAAACUCAAAGGAAUUGACGGGGGCCCGCACAAGCGGUGGAGUAUGUGGUUUAAUUCGAUGCAACGCGAAGAACCUUACCAGGGUUUGACAUCCUGCGAACCCCUGAGAAAUCGGGGGGUGCCUUCGGGAGCGCAGAGACAGGUGGUGCAUGGCUCGUCAGCUCGUGUCGUGAGAUGUUGGGUUAAGUCCCGCAACGAGCGCAACCCACGUCUUUAGUUGCCAGCAUUCAGUUGGGCACUCUAGAGAGACCGCCGGUGAUAAACCGGAGGAAGGUGUGGAUGACGUCAAGUCAUCAUGCCCCUUACAUCCUGGGCUACACACGUACUACAAUGCUACGGACAAAGGGCAGCAAGCUCGCGAGAGUUAGCAAAUCCCAUAAACCGUGGCUCAGUUCAGAUCGUAGGCUGCAACUCGCCUACGUGAAGGAGGAAUCGCUAGUAAUCGCAGGUCAGCAUACUGCGGUGAAUACGUUCCCGGGCCUUGUGCACACCGCCCGUCACACCAUGGAAGUUGGCCAUGCCCGAAGUCGUUACUCCAACCCUUGUGGAGGAGGACGCCGAAGGUGGGGCUGAUGACUGGGGUGAAGUC